GUAACUACAGUAUGCAAGAUCCUUUAAUCCCCCCCUGCCUUUUAUUAAGGUCUUCAAUACGGCAGGAUGGAGUCGGGUUGGAGAGGAUUUUUGGCUUAUUCCUAAUUCCAUGCCAUAUCUACACUGUGGCCAAACAUCAGUGAAGCAGGGCAUGAGUGUCUUCUUUGAUGAAAGACAACAGCAG